AAAUUGAAGAGUUUGAUCAUGGCUCAGAUUGAACGCUGGCGGCAGGCCUAACACAUGCAAGUCGAGCGGUAGCACAGAGAGCUUGCUCUCGGGUGACGAGCGGCGGACGGGUGAGUAAUGUCUGGGAAACUGCCUGAUGGAGGGGGAUAACUACUGGAAACGGUAGCUAAUACCGCAUAACGUCGCAAGACCAAAGUGGGGGACCUUCGGGCCUCAUGCCAUCAGAUGUGCCCAGAUGGGAUUAGCUAGUAGGUGGGGUAACGGCUCACCUAGGCGACGAUCCCUAGCUGGUCUGAGAGGAUGACCAGCCACACUGGAACUGAGACACGGUCCAGACUCCUACGGGAGGCAGCAGUGGGGAAUAUUGCACAAUGGGCGCAAGCCUGAUGCAGCCAUGCCGCGUGUGUGAAGAAGGCCUUCGGGUUGUAAAGCACUUUCAGCGGGGAGGAAGGCGAUAAGGUUAAUAACCUUGUCGAUUGACGUUACCCGCAGAAGAAGCACCGGCUAACUCCGUGCCAGCAGCCGCGGUAAUACGGAGGGUGCAAGCGUUAAUCGGAAUUACUGGGCGUAAAGCGCACGCAGGCGGUCUGUCAAGUCGGAUGUGAAAUCCCCGGGCUCAACCUGGGAACUGCAUUCGAAACUGGCAGGCUAGAGUCUUGUAGAGGGGGGUAGAAUUCCAGGUGUAGCGGUGAAAUGCGUAGAGAUCUGGAGGAAUACCGGUGGCGAAGGCGGCCCCCUGGACAAAGACUGACGCUCAGGUGCGAAAGCGUGGGGAGCAAACAGGAUUAGAUACCCUGGUAGUCCACGCCGUAAACGAUGUCGAUUUGGAGGUUGUGCCCUUGAGGCGUGGCUUCCGGAGCUAACGCGUUAAAUCGACCGCCUGGGGAGUACGGCCGCAAGGUUAAAACUCAAAUGAAUUGACGGGGGCCCGCACAAGCGGUGGAGCAUGUGGUUUAAUUCGAUGCAACGCGAAGAACCUUACCUGGUCUUGACAUCCACAGAACUUUCCAGAGAUGGAUUGGUGCCUUCGGGAACUGUGAGACAGGUGCUGCAUGGCUGUCGUCAGCUCGUGUUGUGAAAUGUUGGGUUAAGUCCCGCAACGAGCGCAACCCUUAUCCUUUGUUGCCAGCGGUCCGGCCGGGAACUCAAAGGAGACUGCCAGUGAUAAACUGGAGGAAGGUGGGGAUGACGUCAAGUCAUCAUGGCCCUUACGACCAGGGCUACACACGUGCUACAAUGGCAUAUACAAAGAGAAGCGACCUCGCGAGAGCAAGCGGACCUCAUAAAGUAUGUCGUAGUCCGGAUUGGAGUCUGCAACUCGACUCCAUGAAGUCGGAAUCGCUAGUAAUCGUAGAUCAGAAUGCUACGGUGAAUACGUUCCCGGGCCUUGUACACACCGCCCGUCACACCAUGGGAGUGGGUUGCAAAAGAAGUAGGUAGCUUAACCUUCGGGAGGGCGCUUACCACUUUGUGAUUCAUGACUGGGGUGAAGUCGUAACAAGGUAACCGUAGGGGAACCUGCGGUU
rnacentral:rRNA from 1 species